rnacentral:rRNA from 1 species
ACCUUUGGCCGCAGCCCUAAAACAUGCAAGUCGAGCGGAUGACAGGGAGCUUGCUCCUUGAUUCAGCGGCGGACGGGUGAGUAAUGCCUAGGAAUCUGCCUGGUAGUGGGGGACAACGUUUCGAAAGGAACGCUAAUACCGCAUACGUCCUACGGGAGAAAGCAGGGGACCUUCGGGCCUUGCGCUAUCAGAUGAGCCUAGGUCGGAUUAGCUUGUUGGUGAGGUAAUGGCUCACCAAGGCGACGAUCCGUAACUGGUCUGAGAGGAUGAUCAGUCACACUGGAACUGAGACACGGUCCAGACUCCUACGGGAGGCAGCAGUGGGGAAUAUUGGACAAUGGGCGAAAGCCUGAUCCAGCCAUGCCGCGUGUGUGAAGAAGGUCUUCGGAUUGUAAAGCACUUUAAGUUGGGAGGAAGGGUUGUAGAUUAAUACUCUGCAAUUUUGACGUUACCGACAGAAUAAGCACCGGCUAACUCUGUGCCAGCAGCCGCGGUAAUACAGAGGGUGCAAGCGUUAAUCGGAAUUACUGGGCGUAAAGCGCGCGUAGGUGGUUUGUUAAGUUGGAUGUGAAAGCCCCGGGCUCAACCUGGGAACUGCAUCCAAAACUGGCAAGCUAGAGUACGGUAGAGGGUGGUGGAAUUUCCUGUGUAGCGGUGAAAUGCGUAGAUAUAGGAAGGAACACCAGUGGCGAAGGCGACCACCUGGACUGAUACUGACACUGAGGUGCGAAAGCGUGGGGAGCAAACAGGAUUAGAUACCCUGGUAGUCCACGCCGUAAACGAUGUCAACUAGCCGUUGGAAUCCUUGAGAUUUUAGUGGCGCAGCUAACGCAUUAAGUUGACCGCCUGGGGAGUACGGCCGCAAGGUUAAAACUCAAAUGAAUUGACGGGGGCCCGCACAAGCGGUGGAGCAUGUGGUUUAAUUCGAAGCAACGCGAAGAACCUUACCAGGCCUUGACAUGCAGAGAACUUUCCAGAGAUGGAUUGGUGCCUUCGGGAACUCUGACCCAGUGCUGCAUGGCUGUCGUCAGCUCGUGUCGUGGGAUGUGGGUUAAGUCCGGUAACGAGGGGCAAA